rnacentral:tRNA from 1 species
GACCCCAAAGAAAGACUAUAGACACUUGGCACUUGCAAUGCCAGAGACAUGGGUUCGAUUCCCAUGGGGGUCC